rnacentral:rRNA from 1 species
CAGUCGCCGCGGGAAUACGUAGGGUGCAAGCGUUAAUCGGAAUUACUGGGCGUAAAGCGUGCGCAGGCGGUUGUGUAAGACAGGUGUGAAAUCCCCGGGCUUAACCUGGGAACUGCGCUUGUGACUGCACAGCUAGAGUAUGGCAGAGGGGGGUGGAAUUCCACGUGUAGCAGUGAAAUGCGUAGAGAUGCGGAGGAACACCGAUGGCGAGGGCAGCCCCCUGGGCCAAUACUGACGCUCAUGCACGAAAGCGUGGGGAGCAAACAGGAUUAGAUACCCCGGUAGUCCCUGUCUCUUAUAC